CAUAUUCUUUGGGUAAAUACCCAGUAAUAGAAUUACUGGGUCACAUGGUAAUGCUAUUUCUAAGAUUUUGAGGAACCUCCAUACUGUUCUCCAGAGUGGCUACACCAGUUUGCUUUCCCACCAACAGUGCACGAGUGUUUCUUUUUCUCUGCAUGCUCACCAACACCUGUAUCUUACAUUUUUGAUUCUAGCUAUUCUGGCAGGUGUGAGGUGAAAUCUCAUUGUGGUUUUGAGUUGCCUUUCCCUGAUGAUGAGUGAUGUUGAGCAUCUUUUCAUGUGUCUGUUGGCCAUCUAUGUCUUCUUUGGGGAAAAGUUUGUUCAUGUCUUCUGCCCAUUUUUAAUUGGAACAUUUCUGUUUUUUGGUCUUGAGUUGUAUCAGUGCUUUAUAUCUUUGGAAUAUUAACCCCUUUUCAGAUAUGUCAAUUACACAUAUCUUCUCCCAUUCAGUAAGUUGUUUUUUGUUGUUUCCUUUGCUGUGCAGAAGCUUUUUAUUUUGAUGUAGUCCUAAUAGUUUAUUUUUGCUUUCAUUUCCCUUAUCUCAGGAGAGUUGUCUAGAAAAAAUGUUGCUCUGGCCAAUGUCAGAGAAGUUACUACCUGUAAUCAUUAUUAUGAUUUCAGGUCUUAUAUUUAGGUCUUUAGUCCAUUUUGAGUUGAUUUUUAUGUAUGGUGUAAGGAGGUGGCCCAGUUUCAUUCUUUUGCAUGUAACUGUCCAAUUUCUCCAACACUACUUGUUGAAGAGACUUUUUCUCACUGCAUAUUAUUGACUCCUUUGUCAAAGAUUAAGUGACCACAUAAUAGGUUAUUGACAGAAUAUUUUUUUAAAGAUAAAAAUACUUUCAAAGCAUAAAAAAAUAAAGCUAUCAUGGUGGGAGUUCCUAAGAACUUUCAUGAGCACAAGAAUCUUUGUUCUUGUCCCUGAUAUAUCUCACCACCUAGAAGAUUGUGUGGUAUAUAGUAGGUAUUCAACACAUAUUUGUGGAACACAUGAAUGCCUUACUUGUAAUUACUAAACUGAAAUACAAUGUAGUUAAAUAACUGUCUCUGGUCGUGUACCUAGUAUAGAGUGGAGCUGGGAUUCAAACACAGUAAAACCUUGGAAUGUGAGUAACUUGUUCUGAGAGUGUUCUGCAAGAAAAGCAAAUACUUCUAAUAAACUUUAACUUGACAAACAAGCAGUAUCUUGCAAUACAAGCAGUACAUGAUGCUGAAUGUCACAUGACCACAACUGAGCCAAUGGUUCUUGAAAUUUGCUUUGAUAUACAAGUGCUUUGGAUUACAAGCAUGUUUCUGAAAUGAAUUAUGCUCACAAACCAAGGUUUUACUGUAUUGGCAGGCUUUUUAAGAUUUUGUUUGUUUUCCAAAACUAAAGGAAUUAAAACAACUGGUGUGUGAUUUAUUCACAUUCUACCCAGGGGUGAUACCCUGAGGGAAAGGAAAGAAAGCAGGUAAUCCCAUCAAAUAUCCUUGUCAACUAGAACUUAGGCUAUACAGAGUCAUAUAGAGUCAUAAUAUUAUUCAAGAGGGGGAGUCUGUGUCUGUUUAGUAUUCCUAAAGGAAUGCUCCUUGCAGGACUCCCUGUAGGGCACGUGAAGCCUUGGGCAAAUAUUUUCUGGGGAUGUGGGGGUAGGAGCCUUGUUUGUAUAAAUUCUUUGAUUAAAUAAUAUAUUAUAAAAUUAAUACAUGGGAGUAUAGUGAUCUAAUGAAAAUUUAGAGUGAUGUAUAGAAAAAUGGUACUUAAGUAUUAGUUUAUUUUCUGAUCAGAGCCCAUGAUGAUUCUUCAUGGUGGCCAGGCAACAUCUGUUUUUGUUGAGAUUCAGGAACCAUGUUCUUCAUGUUCUUUAUUUUUCUGGUUAUACCAUUGUGGAGAGUGCUGCAUUAUCCAUUAUGCCACCCAUAAAUAGGGACUUCAAGGGCAGUGUUAAAGGUUUUUCUGGUACUUUGUUGUUGAUAACCACAAAUACAAGACUUUCACAGAGUGUAUAGAAAAAUGUGAAUGAUAUAUUAUUUCUGGUCUUUUUAAGCUUACUGCUGGGAAUUGUAGAGUGUAAGUAUAGAAGAACACAUAUUUCAACUACAUGUUCUUUUGAACUCUUCAGGCCUGAUGUGUAGUAUAGAGUCUGCAAAAAGGAUAGGGUGCCCUGAAUUGUGUGCCAGCACUAUGGUACACAGGGUAAAGGAUCCCUCCCUCCACCAUUCUGUGGUACUGAAGUUCAAAGGCAGAAUCAUGGUCAGGACACAGACAGUUGAGAACUGACAACAUAGGCACAAACCAGUAGCUCAAGUCUGAGGGUCAUUGCUAGAUUUUCAGAAAUCCAUAGCUAUCACCUUGCCCUAUGUCUGACGUGAAUGAUAGUCACACAAAAUCAUUAUGUAAGCACAGUUAUGAUGGCCAGAUCUCAUGAUAUUGAAUAAAAGAAAUAUCAUGCUGGCCAGUGGGAACAAUCUGCUGGCUCCAGGAAGUCCCAGACACCGGAGGGGAACUUAAAAAAAUCUGUAGAAGACAUUUCUAGCAAAAAGACCCAGAAAGGGUCUGGUCCUGGCCAAGUUCCGGGUCUUAGCCAGUCCCAGGCAUUGGAGUGAGACAGAAGUUUUGAUGUAGGUGUUUCUGGUGACCAGGAUUCACGUAAGACCAGGUUUGACCUUAGGGUACCCUGCCUGAAUGGCCAACUCCAGACAAUUCUAGACACUAUAUGGAGACUUAGAAUUUUCUAGUGAAGGGAAUCCAAAACCCAGAGUCCUGUGAGGGACCUGUACUAGGGGAGGGGCUCUGCUUGGUAGGUCUGAGAGUGGGAGUUUACUGAUAAUGAAUUAUUUAAUAAAAUCUAUGAGGCAGGGCUUCCUGGAAAAUGUCAUUUAAAUGCUACAACUCUGGAAUAUUAAAUUGAGAUGUCUCACAAUUAAAGCCUUCUUUAUGAUGUAAAUAUGGAAUAUAUAUGCCAUAUGAAGUAACUCUGUGGACUUCACUUGUAGAAAUUUCAUCUAUUAUUCCAUGCCAAUGUUUCACGUGGGACGAUAGGACUAGGGGAACUAUCCUUGAUGUCCUAGGCAUCUUUCUGCUUUGUCUGAAUCUCGUGUCUCUAUCCUUGAAAUUGUUAGUAAAAUGGAACACCGGGGGAGCCAUGAUGACAAUUGGUCCCUCCCUGCCGUUUGAAGUCCUUGCUAAUGACCUACCUGUAAUUUUCAGACCCAUCAACAAGGAUCCUACAUGCUUUCUCAGGCCAGCAAGGAUCUAUUCUGGGCUCAGCCAAUUGGAUGCCCUCAUGUGGAACUCUGAAGUGAUGGAGGGAGUGAUGCAGAGACACAGAAACAUCAGAGUUACUGGCAGAGGGAUGAAUGCCAGGAAGUAUCCAGUGACAGCAACUGCCAAACUCAUCACCCUGCUCCUGUGUAAACAUAGGGACAGCUUAUGUUGAAAACUAGUUUUCAUCCCAUCCAUUCAGUGGACUAUUCAAUAUCCUUCCAAUAACAUCUUUUCUGCUUAAAUGAGGAUGAAAAGAAGGAAGUCAGGAUGGCUUUGUGAUUUUUGUAUUUAAGAUAACUGGUAAGCUACCAUGAUAAUACUGGUGAAGGAAUGUUGAUGAGGAUAUUUGGAAUUAAAGUCUAAUUCCUAAUUCCACAGGUAUGAGCUUUUUGAAGUGGCACUGUCUCGUGUUCUAAAUCCAUGGCAUGAAAACAGAAAUAAGCUUAAUAUAUACGGAUUAUAGAAGUGAAACGAGACACAAUGUGGAUUCAGAUCGGAUAUGAUUUGGCAACUGAUUGGACAUGGGGGCUGAGAAAAGAAGGGAUCGUGGAGCUGACUGCUUUCUCUCCUGCCUGGAAAGAUAGUAAUUCCUUUAAUAGCAGAGGGAUCAUGGCAGAAGGAGCAGAUUUGAGAAACAAUGAGUUCACUUUUGUAUUAUUCAAUCUGAGAUUGCUAUUGAAUGUCACAGGGACACAUACUGCGUGCAAUUGACAAGUCUCUGUGAGAGUUCAGCCAAGUGUGUGAAGCAGAACAUAGAGAUCUAGGAAUCAUCAUCAGGCUGUACUUGUGGGAAUUAAAGUGCUCUCCUAGAGAAGAAUUAGAAAGUAAAAGUGCUCAGGACAGACACCUGAGGGAAUACAGCAAUUCAAAGAUAAUGCUAGAAGGCUAUCAGCUGAUAUGUAAAAAUAAACUUCCUUGAGCAGUAACACACGUACCCCUAGACCAGAGCUUGUGAGAUUUCGGUGCAGUUAGAGUCCUAUGCUCAGCUGUAAAAAGGUGAGCAUUGCUAUUAGGCAUGAGAGAACAGAGCAAAGCUUAGGAGAGGAAAUAGUUGUAAAUCACCUUUAAAACUGCAGCUCUUAGUUCUCCUUCCUGAGCCUAGAGAACCUAUAGAGAUACAGACAAAACCUAUUACAAUUUCUAUAUUCCAAAUUGAUAUUUGCUCAAUUAAGUAAUUCUAAAUCGUAUCUUUUUUCUUCACAUUUAUGCAUCUAUGCCUGGGAAAAGGUUGAUAACUUCAACAGCCUAAGGAAAAUUUAACAGAGACAAAUUAAUUUUUUCCAGUGCAAAGUUACAAAUUAUCUAGAGAUUAUCCACUGCUAUGGAUUAUACAUGACUUGACUCCACUGACUCAGAUAAUUGAACACUGAUGCUAAUUAGCAAAAUUUUUUUAUAAAACAAUUUUGAUAGUGCGGUAAGCUGAUAUUUACUACUAAAACUCCUGAUGCUUUAUAAAUCCAUGGAUAAUAUUAAAUUGUCAGGACCUCAACCUGAAGAGUGAGGAGGGCUUAGGCCUUAUGGUCACACUGCUGGGUAGAACACUUAUUGCCCUAUGGAGAGGAAGAGAGGCUUGGCUAAUGAUGAAUGUUCAACAGAUUUGGCACUCUUGUCCUCAUGCAUGCCAUGUGCCACCCUCCCACUGUUAGGAAACUGUCAUCAGUCAUUUCCUCUAACAAACUGGAGAGGAAUAAGGUAUGCACAAAGCACCAGAAGUAGAUACUGCCCUUGGAUGAAAUCUCUUCAUGAAAAUUCCUGGCCAUAUUUAGCCCACUGCAUCUAGUACUAACUGACAUUGGAAACUAUGGUUCCAAUUAGCUUUCCGUUUCCUUUAAGUGUUUUUCUUUUCCUGUUGGCUUUUCUGUGUCUUCCGUAACCUGAAAAGACAACUGCUUCAUUACUUCAAAGAAAUUUUAACUCAAGGGGGUGGGGGUGGGGGACUGAUCAACCCAAACUUAUUCUUUAGUCUGAGACUCACAAGAGAUGGUCUCUAAUCAUCAAUAACACUGAUAAUUCAGCAUCACACUGCCCCUGUUCCUGGAAUAUCAUGAUGUACAUAUGGUCCAAGGAAGAAGAGUGGGGAGCCAUCAGGAAGCAGCGUGUAGAGAGCAGAAGCUUUGGGGUCAGAAAACCAUAUAGGGAUUUAGACUCAGAAAAAUUAAUAGCUAUAUCAUCUCUGGUAAGUUGACUUCUUUCAGUCUUUUCUCAUUGUCGAAAUGGGAACAAGAGUAUCAGCUCUGCAAGGUUGCCAUGAGAAUUAAGGGGUGUAAAGUCUGCACUAAUAUAGCACAGAGCCCUGCUGCGCAUUAACUGCUAUGAUAGCCCCAUAGUAAGUCAGGUACAGAUGAUGCCUGAGGUGUAAUACAUUAAUAACAGGAGUUAAGAAAAUGAGGUAUUGAAAAUAGCUACGAUACAUUAUAUCCCAUUGUUAACUGUUAAUGGUGUCCAAUUAGGAGUAAUGCCUUUGAGAAAAAAAAUCUGUUCAGUUAGCUUGUGAUACUGAUUUAUAAGCAUAGAAAUGAUUGUAAGAAGUCUUGUCCUAAUAAAUUUUCUGCCUAGGAAUUCUAUCUCCAACAGCAAUAAAACAUGGCUGUUGUUACGUUUCAUUUUUGAUGCAGAGCUGAACUUUGAAGGAGUUUUUCUAUGUACCAAGAUGAGCUCAAUAAAAACGAAAUCCUUUGGAUUAAGGUAACAUCCCUAAGAGACCUCUGCCUCUGGUAAAGGCAUUUGCAGUAAUGAACAACAACAACAAAAAGAAUGGAGGACUCUGUGUUGUUUUAAAUUACAUAUCUGACAGAUCACAAAGAAAUUGCUUUUAGGUAAAUGAGCAUUAUUUUCUUGACUUUCUCCCAGCUCCACAAUACCAGUUAAAAGGUCCAUUGGAAGUAUGAAUUUUCUUAGCAAACUAAAGCAUUAUAAAUGGUUCCAGUUCCUGACCACUGACUCAUUCCUUAAACCCUGAUGGCAUCUGUUUUCACUGUUCAACAGAAUUGUGUUUUUAAAGAUCACUAAAAUUUCCAGGGAAGGUCUUCAGUCUCUGUCUUCCCCUGCAAUAUUCAACCCUGCUGAGCACCCUCUGCUAGAAUGGCACCCUAAUGACUACCUUACUUCCCUUCUUAGUGCUCCGAAGAAACUGUAAAGUUCUGCUCACUCAUCAUCGCCCAUCUGUUUCCUGAAUGUAGGUAUUCCCUCAGAUUUUUUUAAUCCUCUCUUUAUAUGCUUUCCCUUGGUGAAUUCAUCCACUGCCAUUUCUUCAACUCACACUCUGCCCAAAAUCCCUCAAAUCUCUAUUUAUAGCUUGACCAUUUACCUCCAGAUCUGAUUCUCAGUGGUCUGCUACACAUCCUCAGGCAGGUAUCCUCCUUAUCACACAAAGAUGAAGUAUGCAACAUCCAGCUUUUCAUCUAUUGUCCCAAAUGAGGAUCUUACCCUGGCUUCUCAAUUGGGGGGUCUCCCUCGUGCCCAGCUUUAACUGCAACCUUCAGCCCAUAGUUGGAGUUCUGUCUGUGCUUCACCAUCUUCUUAUCAAAUUUGUUUCCAGGUUCUUCUUUGUUUGAAUACCUAUGUUGAUUUCCAUUCACACUGCCAUCAUCAAGGGACAGGUUAAGAUUUCUUCUUCCCUGGAUGAACUCAGUAACCUUUAUGCCAAAUUCCCUAAUUCCAACCUUGUUUUGCCUCAACUACUAUACUCACUGGUACCAGAUUAAUUUUCUAAAGCUUGGCUUCAAUCAGGUCAUUCUCUUAAAUAACACAUUUUAAUAGUUCUCACUUCCUACUAAAAUAAAAGAUAUGCAGCCUGGUAUUCAAGAUCCAUCACAAUAUUAUGCCCACUACCGAUCUUUCUAUUCUUUUUGCUCAUGAUUCUUUUACCAUGUACACUAUACAAGUUCCAUACAAGUUCUCCAAGUGAUUUGAAUGCCCACCAAAGCCUGAGCACUACUGCUCUAAGCUACAGUCAAACUGAAAUGACCAUAAUUAUUGUUUGGUUACUCUGUAUUUAUGUCUCUACUCCUGCUGUUCCUUUAAGUAUUCAUCAUCAUCUCUGUAUCCCCAUUCUACCCAUCCCUUGACAUCCAGUGACAUUUUCCAUAAGCCUUAAUAAAAUUACUCCCUUCCAUUCCCAAAUCUACAUGCUUCUCAUUACUUUAUUUAUAAUUAUAUAUUAUGCCCCAUCUGCUCCAGAUUACUAUAAAGUCCUCCAAGGCAGAAUCAUGUCUAAUUUAUCUUUUAUUCUUUCAAGAACCCAAUGUAACAUUUUAUCCAAAUAGUAGAAUGUCAAAAAUGGCAUUCCCUUAGAUAAGACUAGGUUAAGAAGGAGCUACCAGGUGUGUAUGGCUGACAAAGGAACCUGUUAUUAAUUUUUGGCAUAUAUUUCAUAAUAUUAUUUAAAAUUUAGGUAUUUUUAAGAUUUUGCACUUUUUGAUGUAUUCAAUGCAUAUAUACAUAAAUAGUUCUACUUAUUUAUUUAUAUAAACAACCAACUUGUGGCACACUGUAUUUUUCAAAGAUGACCACAAAAAUACCUCCCAAUUCAAAUGCUCUUCUGCAAUGUAAUCUUUCCACCCCUCUGCUCCUUCAAGAAGUAGAGUCUAUUUCUUCAUCUGCUUGAAUCUGGUUGGGGUGGGUACCUGUGAAUGCUUUAAUUAAUUCUGGGCAUAGGACUCAAGUGGCCUGGAAGCUUUUUUUUUCUCACCUCUUGGAAACCAACCAUCAUGUCACAAGUGUAACUCUGUGAGAUCACCAUGCCGUGAGAAGCCCAAGCCACACUGAGACACCUGGAUCAUGAAAUGCCAUUUGGAAAGAGAAAGAAAGGCCAAAGGACACUGCAGCUCUGUUGGAAUUGGAUCAUCCAGCACUGGCUGUUUCACUGGAUACCAAAUGAGUCAGAUACAAACCAUCCAGCUGAGUCCUUCCCAAUUUCCUAAUACAUACAAUUGUGAGCAAAAUAAAAUGGCUGUUUUAUAUUACUAAAUUUUAGUGUGUCAUGUUAAACAGCAAUUUAUAAUAGAAACUACUCAUUGCCACUUAUGAAAUGUACAGCUGUGGUCACAGAAGAACAAAAUGAAAAUGGUAUGCUUACAAAGAAGACAGUUAUUUUACAAAGAAAACUGGUAUGUUUGCCAUCUAAGUGCUGCAGAAUAAAACCUAAUACUGACCAAUUUACUAACUUUAAUUCUGUCCUUAGCAAAAAGUCAAUCAAUAAAAAAAUAUUAAAGAUAUUUAGUCAUAUUUUUCAAAGUCAA